rnacentral:rRNA from 1 species
UUGCGCAAUGGGCGAAAGCCCGACGCAGCAACGCCGCGUGAGCGAAGAAGGCCUUCGGGUUGUAAAGCUCUGUCAGGGGGAAAGAAGGCACCUGGGUUAAUAGCCCAAGGGCUGACGGUACCUCCAAAGGAAGACACGGCUAACUACGUGCCAGCAGCCGCGGUAAUACGUAGGUGGCGAGCGUUGCCCGGAAUCAUUGGGCGUAAAGAGCGCGUAGGUGGCUUGUCAGGUCCGAUGUGAAAACCUGGGGCUCAACUCCAGGCCUGCAUCGGAAAGCGGCUUGCUUGAGUCUGGGAGAGGUGAGCGGAAUUCCUGGUGUGGGGGUGAAAUGCGUAGAUAUCAGGAGGAGCACCAGUGGCGAAGGCGGCUCUCUGGAACAGUACUGACGAUGAGGGGCGAAAGCGAGGGG